UACGAAGGGGGCUAGCGUUGCUCGGAAUCACUGGGCGUAAAGCGCACGUAGGCGGCUUUCUAAGUCAGGGGUGAAAUCCUGGAGCUCAACUCCAGAACUGCCUUUGAUACUGGGAAGCUCGAGUCCGGGAGAGGUGAGUGGAACUCCGAGUGUAGAGGUGAAAUUCGUAGAUAUUCGGAAGAACACCAGUGGCGAAGGCGGCUCACUGGUCCGGUACUGACGCUGAUGUGCGAAAGCGUGGGGAGCAAACAGG
rnacentral:rRNA from 1 species